GGGUCGGUAGCUCAGGUGGUUAGAGCGCACGCCUGAUAAGCGUGAGGUCGGAGGUUCAACUCCUCCCCGACCCACCA
rnacentral:tRNA from 1 species